GACGAACGCUGGCGGCGUGCUUAACACAUGCAAGUCGAACGGAAAGGGCCUGCUUUUGUGGGGUGCUCGAGUGGCGAACGGGUGAGUAACACGUGAGUAACCUGCCCUUGACUUUGGGAUAACUUCAGGAAACUGGGGCUAAUACCGGAUAGGAGCUCCUGCUGCAUGGUGGGGGUUGGAAAGUUUCGGCGGUUGGGGAUGGACUCGCGGCUUAUCAGCUUGUUGGUGGGGUAGUGGCUUACCAAGGCUUUGACGGGUAGCCGGCCUGAGAGGGUAACCGGCCACAUUGGGACUGAGAUACGGCCCAGACUCCUACGGGAGGCAGCAGUGGGGAAUAUUGCACAAUGGGCGGAAGCCUGAUGCAGCAACGCCGCGUGCGGGAUGACGGCCUUCGGGUUGUAAACCGCUUUCGCCUGUGACGAAGCGUGAGUGACGGUAAUGGGUAAAGAAGCACCGGCUAACUACGUG
rnacentral:rRNA from 1 species